CCUACGGGUGACAGCAGUAGGGAAUUUUGCGCAAUGGGCGAAAGCCUGACGCAGCAACGCCGCGUGAUCGAGACGCCCUUCGGGGUGUAAAGCUCUGUCAGUUGGGACGAAACUUGACGGUAUCCACAGAGCAAGCACCGGCCAACUCCGUGCCCGCAGCAGCGGUGAUACGGGGGGUGGAAGCGUUGUCCGGAAUCAUUGGGCGUAAAGAGUUCGUAGGCGGGACGUAAAGUCUGGUGUUAAAGGCAGAGGCUCAAAUUCUUUACGGCACUGGCAACGUGGGGGCUGGAAUGCAGGAGAGGUAAAGGGAAUUCCUAGUGUAGCGGUGAAAUGCGUAGAUAUCAGGAGGAACAUCAGUGGCGUAAGCGCUUUACUGGGCCGUAAUUGACGCUGAGGAACGAAAGCCAGGGGAGCAAAUGGGAUUAGAUACCCGUGUAGUC
rnacentral:rRNA from 1 species